rnacentral:ncRNA from 1 species
AGGGCAGUAUCGAUGACGAACUGCACCACUUUCGUAUAACUGAAUAAAGACAGUAAAUUUCUGCCUUGAUCCAUAUGGACAGGGACGGAGGG